CAGUAGCCGCGGUAAUACGGAGGGUGCAAGCGUUAAUCGGAAUUACUGGGCGUAAAGCGCACGCAGGCGGUCUGACAAGUCAGAUGUGAAAUCCCCGGGCUUAACCUGGGAACUGCAUUUGAAACUGUCAGGCUGGAGUCUUGUAGAGGGGGGUAGAAUUCCAGGUGUAGCGGUGAAAUGCGUAGAGAUCUGGAGGAAUACCGGUGGCGAAGGCGGCCCCCUGGACAAAGACUGACGCUCAGGUGCGAAAGCGUGGGGAGCAAACAGGAUUAGAUACCCCUGUAGUCCCUGUCUCUUAUAC
rnacentral:rRNA from 1 species